rnacentral:lncRNA from 1 species
CUUACAUCUAGUUUGGUACUUGUGUGGAGAAGGGUCCUGGUCGAGUAACCUGCCCACAGCCUUCCCUGGAAACUGAGUGUGAUCUUCUUACUCCCACACUGUCUGGAGGGCUCCACUCCUGAGGGAUGCUCAGCCUGGAUUGGAGAAUGGAAUUUUGUUAGCACUGCAGUAUCAGUGAAGAGUUCCCACAGCCAUUAGACCAGCACAGUUGAAAGUCUUCCACACAGGUCUUGAUAUUUGUAGCACUUUGGCCAGGCAAAGGAAGGAGCAGGCACCAGUACCAACACACGAAUUAGAUACCACACAGCUCAACUUCCUUCCUUCUGCCCCAGUGAGAUAUGCUGAUGAGGCCCAUGGGCCAUGUUAUCCUUGCUCUGCUGAUGAGGAGUGUCAAAGUGGAAAAGGAGUAGGAGGAUCCAGGGCCAAGGGCAGGUCUCCAGGACUCAUGGGGCCAUUCUGGGGCAGGAGUAUACCUCAAAGAAGGGGACAUGGACUGGCCUGGUGAGGGGUAAGAUACAGAGAAGCCCACAGUGGGUUUCCAGAGCUGGGCCAGGGUGCGUGUGGAGCAGGG